rnacentral:rRNA from 1 species
UACGGAGGGUGCAAGCGUUAUCCGGAUUCACUGGGUUUAAAGGGUGCGUAGGCGGGUAGGUAAGUCAGUGGUGAAAUCUUCGAGCUUAACUCGAAAACUGCCUUUGAUACUAUCUAUCUUGAAUAUUGUGGAGGUAAGCGGAAUAUGUCAUGUAGCGGUGAAAUGCUUAGAUAUGACAUAGAACACCUAUUGCGAAGGCAGCUUACUACGCAUAUAUUGACGCUGAGGCACGAAAGCGUGGGGAUCAAACAGG